rfam:Oryctolagus cuniculus chromosome 19, whole genome shotgun sequence.
GGUGCUGUGGCUUAGCAGGUAAAGCCGCUGCCUGCAGUGCUGGCAUCCCAUAUGGGCGCUGGUUCAAGUCCUGGCUGCUCCA